UACGUAGGGUGCGAGCGUUGUCCGGAAUUAUUGGGCGUAAAGAGCUUGUAGGCGGUUUGUCGCGUCUGCCGUGAAAAUCCGGGGCUCAACCCCGGACUUGCGGUGGGUACGGGCAGACUAGAGUGUGGUAGGGGAGACUGGAAUUCCUGGUGUAGCGGUGAAAUGCGCAGAUAUCAGGAGGAACACCGAUGGCGAAGGCAGGUCCCUGGGCCACUACUGACGCUGAGAAGCGAAAGCGUGGGGAGCGAACAGG
rnacentral:rRNA from 1 species